GUCCUGCCAUGGAUACCACCGAGAGCGCCGAGAGCGCGCACAACCCAGCACGUCCGCCCUCGCGCAGCCGCUGCCCGCCGUCCGCGCAGCCCGGGUACCUAUCAGCCGGGAUCCAUCCCCGCGCAUUCUCCACCCUCGCCCCGUGCCCGCCGCCCACUGAGCCCGAGGACCGCCUGGCCCCGGCUCGUCCCUGUUCGCCCUCUACUUCAGCCCUCGCCUUUUACCCGCCGCUCUUGCCUUUGCCCGGGCCCGGUGCCCUUACUAAGUCCGAGUUGAGUCCGGUGGCUGGGCUCACGUUCUUUGUGCGCGACUUGCGCUUGCCAUCCUGCAGGUCCGAGGGCUUCUGGAGACCGUGGGUUCGAACUCCUGGAGAGAAAGAGAAGCGGACGGGGCCCCGUGCUGCAGAGGCGUUGCCCAGUGGCCCAGGAAUGGCAGAAGCUUCCGGGAAGCUUUUGCAAUACCAACACCCUGUCAGGUACCUUUAAAACAAGGCAGGAGUCUUAUGGAUUGGAUCCGACUGACCAAGAGUGGAAAGGACUUAACAGGAUUGAAGGGCGGGUUAAUUGAAGUAACUGAAGAAGAGCUUAAGAAGCACAACAAGAAAGAAGAUUGUUGGAUAUGCAUAAGAGGGUUUGUUUACAACGUCAGCCCUUAUAUGGAGUACCAUCCGGGUGGGGAGGAUGAACUCAUGAGAGCCGCAGGAGCCGAUGGAACAGAUCUUUUUAAUGAGGUUCAUCGUUGGGUCAAUUAUGAAUCCAUGCUGAAAGAAUGCCUGGUUGGCAGGAUGGCUGUGAAGCCUGCUGUUCCAAAAGACUGUCAUGAAGGAAAGAGAGUCUUAAAUGGCAUGCUUCCCAAGAGCCAAAUGUCAGACACACUGCCCAGGGAUGUGACAGACACACUGCCCAGGGAAGACCUCAGUUCUCCAAGCUAUGAUUGGUUCCAAACAGAGUCUUCAGUCACCAUUGUUGUAUACACCAAACAAAAGAAUAUCAGUUUAGACUCAGUAAUCGUUGACCUCCAGGAUGACUCCUUGAGAGCAGAAGCAGUCAUCAAGGAUCACUCUUACCUUGUACAUGUUGGGCUAAGCCAUGAAGUUCAAGAAAAUUUUUCUGUACGGGUUAUUGAAAAUGUUGGAAAAAUAGAGAUUGUCCUACAAAAGAAAGAAAGUGUUUCUUGGCAAUGUCUUGGUGAUCACCUGGAGAAACAUGAUUCUUUCAUUCCAAAGAAAGAUACAGGCUUGUACUACAGACGGUGCCAGUUAAUAUCUAAGGAAGAUGUCACUCAUGACACGAGACUUUUCUGUCUGAUGCUGCCUCCAAGUACUCACCUUCAGGUGCCAGUUGGACAACAUGUUUACCUCAAGCUCAGUGUCACAGGUGCAGAAAUAGUAAAGCCAUAUACACCCGUGUCUGAUUCCUUACUCUCAGAUUUUAAAGAACCAGUCCUUUCCCCAAAUAAAUACAUCUGCUUUUUGAUCAAAAUCUAUCCUGCUGGACUCUUCACACCAGAGCUUGAUCGUCUUCAGAUUGGAGAUUUUAUUUCUGUAAGCGGACCUGAAGGCGAUUUUAAAGUAUCCAAACUCCAGGAAGUAGAAGAUCUCUUUCUAUUGGCAGCCGGAACAGGAUUCACACCAAUGGUCACUGUACUGAAUUAUGCUUUGUCUCACAUGUCCAGUCUCAGGAAGGUGAAGUUGAUGUUCUUCAAUAAAACAGAGGACGAUAUAAUUUGGAGAUGUCAGCUAGAGAAGUUGGCAUUAAGAGAAAAAAGAUUUGAUGUUGAAUUUGUUCUCUCGGCACCUUCUCCAGAAUGGAAUGGCAAACAGGGACACAUAUCACGAGCUCUUCUCUCUGAAUUUUUGCAAAGAAGUUCAGAAAACUCUAGGGCCUUCCUUUGCAUCUGCGGACCAACACCAUUUACUGACGAGGGGAUAAGGUUGCUGCAUGAUCUUAACUUUUCUGAUGAUGAGAUUCACGGAUUCACCGCUUAAGAAAAAGCUGCCAUUGUCUUUUAUUCAACUAGUUUAUAUUUGUGAUUGCCUAGGAGUUUUUAAAUGAGUUUUUGUAUGUAUGGAAGGCUUUGCUUUCUGAAAUGAAAUCAUGUGUCUUCAGUACAAGUAACUUCUUGGUUUAAUUUUGUACCGUGACUUAUCUUACUGCUGACCCUGACCUGGAGGGUCAGUCAUGGCAGCAGGUGCAUAUGGGAGCCUUUGUUAUGAACUGCAAGUUUCCUGACCACUGAAGUUGUAUCACUGUUCGGCAGUCAACACUUGUAUUUUAUGACAUGAUAAACUAAGCAAUCAUUUUGGUUACUUUUUAUGCUGCAAGAUAUCUUCUGAGCAAUAUGUAUUAAAUAUUCCACUGCACUGUUCACUCAGGAAUUGAUGGUGUAUGUCCUUAGUAGUCUUAAAACUUGGAAUGCUGUAACUAUUGGUGGUCCAGUUUUGUGAACUGGACAGAUAGAAUAAAACUAUACUUCCAUACUUUUUACUCCCUGUGGUGGACGUGUGGCUGAAGGUAACAAAUACAGUGGUUGUCUUAAAGGGAGUUUUAUUUACAUACUGUUUUUUGAGUCUCACUUAAUAGCUUUCGUUGCUGAAAUUGGCUAUGUAUACCAGGCUGGCCUAAAAUUCCUACUUCUGCUUUUGGGGGCUGGGAUUACAGGUAUGUGCUACCAUUCUUGAGCUUAAAGGAGUUUUUAAAGACACCAGCAGAGUUCAAUUUCCCCUCCCCAGAGGGUGGAAGAAGAGAACUGACUGUGUAAGAUAUUCUCACGUGCACACUGUGGCAGUGCACCAGCCCACAAACACGGACAGUAAAGAAAUAUAAUCUCUAGAAUGUUUACGAUAACAAUAAAAAUAUUAGAAGUUCUUCACACUUGCA